AGGGGUGAAAGGCCAAUCAAACUGGGAAAUAGCUCGUACUCUCCGAAAUGCAUUUAGGUGCAGCCUCUGUUGUUUUGUUCUAGAGGUAGAGCUACUGAUUGGAUGCGAGGGCUUCACCGCCUAUCAAAUCCGGCCAAACUCCGAAUGCUAGAACAUGAAGACAGGGAGUGAGCCAGCGGGUGCUAAGGUCCGUUGACGAAAGAGGGAGAACUCAGACCAUCAGCUAAGGUCCCCAAUUAUAUGCUAAGUUGGAAUAAAAACGGGGUGGGACUGCUUAGACAGCUAGGAUGUUGGCUUGGAAGCAGCCAUUCAUUUAAAGAGUGCGUAACAGCUCACUAGUCGAGCGGUCCUGCAUGGAUAAUACGCGGGCAUAAGCAUAUAACCGAAGCUAUGGGAUUGUAGAUGAUACAAUCGGUAGGAGAGCAUUCCAUUCAGCAUAGAAGCAGUAUCGUGAGGUAUUGUGGAGCGGAUGGAAAAGCAAAUGUAGGCAUAAGUAACGAUAAUGCGGGUGAGAACCCCGCACGCCGAAAGAUCAAGGAUUCCCCGGCAAUGUCAAUCAUCCGGGGGUAAGUCGGAUCCUAAGGGUAAGCCGAGUGGCGAUCCCGAUGGUAAACAGGUUAAUAUUCCUGUACUGAUCAUAACUGCGAUGCAGCGACGCAGAGGUGACACUGCUGCGUACUGACGGAAUAGUACGUUGAAACCCGUAUUCUUUGAUACCGGUAGUGAAGCACGCCGGUAGAGAUGAAAGGUGAUAGUACCGCAAUGCUUCGGUUGCGCGGAUAAUGCAGGUAAGCUGACUGCCAAGAAAACCUGCUAAGCUUCAGGUAAUGAUCAUCCGUACUGUAAACGGACACACGUGAUCAGGUAGAAAAUACUAAGGCGCUCGAGAGAUUCAUGGUUAAGGAACUAGGCAAAAUGGUCCUGUAACUUCGGGAUAAAGGACGCUCUUGUGAAAGAGCCGCAGAUAAUAGGCCCAGGCGACUGUUUACCAAAAACACAUGGCUAUGCUAAUUCGCAAGAAGAUGUAUAUGGCCUGACACCUGCCCGGUGCCGGAAGGUUAAGAGGAGAGCUCAGAGGUAACUCGAAGGUUUGAAUUGAAGCCCCGGUAAACGGCGGCCGUAACUAUAACGGUCCUAAGGUAGCGAAAUUCCUUGUCGGGUAAGUUCCGACCUGCACGAAUGGUGUAACGAUCUGGGUACUGUCUCAACCAUGAGCUCGGUGAAAUUGUAGUUCCGGUGAAGAUGCCGGAUACCCGCAACGGGACGGAAAGACCCCGUGAACCUUUACUGCAGCUUUGCAUUGAUUUUGGGUAACAGAUGUGUAGGAUAGGUCGGAGGCUUUGAUGCUGCGUCGUCAGGCGUAGAGUAGCCGUCGUUGAAAUACGACCCUUUUGUUAUCUGAGGUCUAAUCCCGUUAGGGAGACAUUGCAUGGUGGGUAGUUUGACUGGGGUGGUCGCCUCCAAAAGUGUAACGGAGGCUUCUCAAGGUACCCUCAAGGCGUUUGGUAAUCGUCUGCAGAGUGCAAUGGCAUAAGGGUGCUUGACUGUGAGACCGACACGUCGAUCAGGUUGGAAACA
rnacentral:rRNA from 1 species